GCAAACGUGAAACUCCCGAAAGUCAGCCCGUCGGAGAGCGUGUUUCGCGUCUUUUCUAGCCUGGACAUUUUCGCUGAUUUUAUUGGAACAUCAAGAACAUCUUGCUCAUGCAAGUUCACAACGUCUACAGUACGUGCUGAGUGGGCUGCGGAAGCAACCUCGUCAGUGGGUGUAACAACACUUCUGAGGCAACUGCAGGCCUUGAAGAUUUUCCACUUCUCAUCUAUUGUAUCGACAAUUAAUUGCAAGAACCUGACUGGCCCAAUGAUGGUACAAGGGAACCGAAGAAAAAAAGCCCACCUGCCAAGUCAAUCAUUACUCAACCAUUUGUAUCAAGCAAACCAUCAAGUUUCAACCAAAUUUCAUUUCAGCUGCCUCAACAAUCAAUAGGACAUGAAGCAGAGUCAGUGCCUCCCCACAUCUACCACAGAUCGGAGGUUCACUACCAGACAAGAGGGUCAGCCAUGGAUGAGUUGGCAAGAUCUUUACAGAUGGAUGUGGCCAACUAGUCAGCCAGUACAUUGCCUCGGUGUCUCUGUGCCCUAGCAACCAGCUUACGACGACCUGCUGCUUGGAGAUGCAAGUGGUGCAAAAAAUGAAAUAAAGCGAUGCAAUUGCAGGAUUUUUGUGCUUUUUCAAGUGAUUUCAAGACUUUUACAAUGCUUAGAGAGUCUGUGUAUAUAACUGU